GCCAGAUCCAAUUCUUUGUUGCUGAUGAGAGAGAGAAUUCAUCAUUUUGAUAAGGAAACUGGAAAAGGCCAACACCACCAACACUGUCAACAAGGUUCUUUGUUUGUUUACCCCUUGGCUGGUGAAAGAUUGUUGUGCAUCAAGUUAACCUGUGUCUGUUCCUUGUUGCUGGUGUGUUACGGAAGUUGCAGGAAGUUUAGCGUUUAUGUUCGCGUAGUUGCUUUCCGAUGUGGCACGUUGUUGCAGCCUAUGCUGGUGUCUGGUGAGAGAUCUUUCUGCAUCAAGUUCAACUGGUUGUUCCUUGGCGGUGGUGUUGUGUUACCAAAAUUGCAUCAUCAAUCAUCAUAUUGUUAAAUUGUCAUUGUGUCUGCAGUUAUCGUUCAGGAGUUAAGAAGGAACAAAAACAAAUAUGGGAU